rnacentral:tRNA from 1 species
UCGGAUAUGGUGUAACGGCUAACAUUGCCGCCUCUCAGUAGAUCGCGGCAGCUCGGGGUUCGAUUCCCCGUAUCCGAA